rnacentral:pre_miRNA from 1 species
UCUCAUGGAUGAGCAAAGAAAGUGAUUUCUUGAGAUAGAAUCCGCUCCUGGUGAAGAUGCUGUGAA